ensembl:rRNA 5S_rRNA 5S ribosomal RNA
UGGCACAGCCAUAUCAAGAUUGGUUACCCAAGCCCAAGAUUGGUUACUCACUUAAGCUAAGCAGGUCUGAGCCUGGUUAGUACCUGUGUGGGAGACAGCAUAGGAAAACUAGGUUGCUUUUGGAA